GGUGCAAGUCGAGCGGUAGCACAGGAGAUGCUCUCUGGGUGACGAGCGGCGGACGGGUGAGUAAUGUCUGGGACUGCCUGAUGGAGGGAUAACUACUGGAAACGGUGGAGCUAAUACCGCAUAACCUCGCAAGAGCAAAGAGGACCUUCGGGCCUCUCGCCAUCAGAUGUGCCCAGAUGGGAUUAGCUAGUAGGUGAGGUAAUGGCUCACCUAGGCGACGAUCCCUAGCUGGUCUGAGAGGAUGACCAGCCACACUGGAACUGAGGGUCCAGACUCCUACGGAGGCAGCAGUGGCGAAUAUUGCACAAUGGGCGCAAGCCUGAUGCAGCCAUGCCGCCUGUGUGA
rnacentral:rRNA from 1 species